rnacentral:rRNA from 1 species
AGGGAAAGCGGGGGGUAGGCCUAACACAUGCAAGUCGAACGGCAGCACAGUAAGAGCUUGCUCUUACGGGUGGCGAGUGGCGGACGGGUGAGGAAUGCAUCGGAAUCUACUUUUUCGUGGGGGAUAACGUAGGGAAACUUACGCUAAUACAGCAUACGACCUACGGGUGAAAGCAGGGGAUCUUCGCACCUUGCGCGAUUGAAUGAGCCGAUGUCGGAUUAGUUAGUUGGCGGGGUAAAGGCCCACCAAGGGGACGAUCCGUAGCUGGUCUGGGAGGAUGAUCAGCGACACGGGAACGGAGACACGGACCAGACUCCUACGGGAGGCAGCAGUGGGGAAUAUUGGACAAUGGGGGCAAGUCUGAUACAGUCAGACCGAGUGGGUGAAGAAGGCGUUGGGGUUGGAAAGACCUUCUGUUGGGAGAGAAAAGCAGCAGGUUAAGACCCCGCUGUUCUGACGGUACCCAAAGAAUAAGCACCGGCUAACUUCGUG